GUUUCUACUUGGCCCCCCUGGCCCACACGGCACUCCCAGACGUCAUGGAAGUGACGGUGUCUUACGAGUCUAGUGAAAUCAGUACCUUAAUCAUGCCCAUGUUGAUCCAUUGGGACCCAGACUCGAACGCGUGGAUGGUAUCGAAUGAGACAUGCAGUAGCAGUGUAUCUGACCGACACGUACUAGAUGCAGCGAACUUACAAUUCACCACCAAGCUCUGCCGCACCAGAACCAGC